rnacentral:rRNA from 1 species
GGCCAGCAGCCGCGGUAAUACAGAGGUCCCGAGCGUUGUUCGGAUUCACUGGGCGUAAAGGGUGCGUAGGUGGUGAGGUAAGUCGGAUGUGAAAUUCUGGAGCUUAACUCCGGAACGGCAUUGGAAACUACCUUGCUGGAGGGUUGGAGGGGGGACUGGAAUUCUCGGUGUAGCAGUGAAAUGCGUAGAUAUCGAGAGGAACACCGGUGGCGAAGGCGAGUCCCUGGACAACACCUGACACUGAGGCACGAAAGCUAGGGGAGCAAACAGGAUUAGAUACCCUGGUAGUCCUAGCCGUAAACGGUGCACGUUUGCUGUAAGAGGAAUCGACCCCUCUUGUGGCGAAGCUAACGCGAUAAACGUGCCGCCUGGGAAGUACGGUCGCAAGAUUAAAACUCAAAGGAAUUGACGGGGGCCCGCACAAGC